rnacentral:rRNA from 1 species
UGGGCCUAUCAUGCAAGUCGUACGCUUUUUCUUUCACCGGGAGCUUGCUCCACCGAAAGAAAAGGAGUGGCGAACGGGUGAGUAACACGUGGGUAACCUGCCCAUCAGAAGGGGAUAACACUUGGAAACAGGUGCUAAUACCGUAUAACAAUCGAAACCGCAUGGUUUUGAUUUGAAAGGCGCUUUCGGGUGUCGCUGAUGGAUGGACCCGCGGUGCAUUAGCUAGUUGGUGAGGUAACGGCUCACCAAGGCCACGAUGCAUAGCCGACCUGAGAGGGUGAUCGGCCACAUUGGGACUGAGACACGGCCCAAACUCCUACGGGAGGCAGCAGUAGGGAAUCUUCGGCAAUGGACGAAAGUCUGACCGAGCAACGCCGCGUGAGUGAAGAAGGUUUUCGGAUCGUAAAACUCUGUUGUUAGAGAAGAACAAGGAUGAGAGUAACUGUUCAUCCCUUGACGGUAUCUAACCAGAAAGCCACGGCUAACUACGUGCCAGCAGCCGCGGUAAUACGUAGGUGGCAAGCGUUGUCCGGAUUUAUUGGGCGUAAAGCGAGCGCAGGCGGUUUCUUAAGUCUGAUGUGAAAGCCCCCGGCUCAACCGGGGAGGGUCAUUGGAAACUGGGAGACUUGAGUGCAGAAGAGGAGAGUGGAAUUCCAUGUGUAGCGGUGAAAUGCGUAGAUAUAUGGAGGAACACCAGUGGCGAAGGCGACUCUCUGGUCUGUAACUGACGCUGAGGCUCGAAAGCGUGGGGAGCAAACAGGAUUAGAUACCCUGGUAGUCCACGCCGUAAACGAUGAGUGCUAAGUGUUGGAGGGUUUCCGCCCUUCAGUGCUGCAGCUAACGCAUUAAGCACUCCGCCUGGGGGAGUACGACCGCAAGGUUGAAACUCAAAGGAAUUGACGGGGGCCCGCACAAGCGGUGGAGCAUGUGGUUUAAUUCGAAGCACGCGAAACCUUACCAGGGUCUUGACAUCCUUUGACCACUCUAAAAAUAGAAGCUUCCCCUUCGGGGGCAAAGUGAACAGGGGGUGCAUGGUUGUCUCACUUCGUGUCUGAUGUUGGGUUAAUCCCCACCGAGCCCACCCUUU